ACGUAGGGGGCAAGCGUUGUCCGGAAUCAUUGGGCGUAAAGCGCGUGUAGGCGGCUUGAUAAGUCUGUUGUGAAAGUCCAGGGCUCAACCCUGGAAUGCCGAUGGAUACUGUCAAGCUCGAGUCCGGAAGAGGCGAGUGGAAUUCCUGGUGUAGCGGUGAAAUGCGCAGAUAUCAGGAGGAACACCAAUGGCGAAGGCAGCUCGCUGGGACGGUACUGACGCUGAGACGCGAAAGCGUGGGGAGCAAACAGGAUUAGAUACCCUGGUAGUCCACGCCGUAAACGAUGGGUACUAGGUGUGGGGGGUGUCGACUCCCUCCGUGCCGAAGCUAACGCAUUAAGUACCCCGCCUGGGGAGUACGGCCGCAAGGCUA
rnacentral:rRNA from 1 species